UACGUAGGAUGCAAGCGUUGUCCGGAAUUAUUGGGCGUAAAGAGCGCGCAGGCGGUAUGACAAGUCAGAUGUGAAAGAGGCCGGCUUAACCGGCAAGGGUCAUUUGAAACUGUCGGACUAGAGUGCAGCAGAGGAUAGUGGAAUUCCCGGUGUAGUGGUGAAAUGCGUAGAUAUGCGGAGGAACACCGAUGGCGAAGGCAAUCCCCUGGGCCUGCACUGACGCUCAUGCACGAAAGCGUGGGGAGCAAACAGG
rnacentral:rRNA from 1 species